AACGAACGCUGGCGGCAUGCCUAACACAUGCAAGUCGAACGAGACCUUCGGGUCUAGUGGCGCACGGGUGCGUAACGCGUGGGAACCUGCCCUUAGGUUCGGAAUAACUCCCCGAAAGGGGUGCUAAUACCGGAUAAUGUCUUCGGACCAAAGAUUUAUCGCCUUUGGAUGGGCCCGCGUUGGAUUAGCUAGUUGGUAGGGUAAAAGCCUACCAAGGCGACGAUCCAUAGCUGGUCUGAGAGGAUGAUCAGCCACACUGGGACUGAGACGCGGCCCAGACUCCUACGGGAGGCAGCAGUGGGGUAUAUUGGACAAUGGGCGAAGGCCUGAGCCAGCAAUGCCGCGUGAGUGAUGAAGGCCUUAGGGUUGUAAAGCUCUUUUACCCGGGAUGAUAAUGACAGUACCGGGAGAAUAAGCUCCGGCUAACUCCGUG
rnacentral:rRNA from 1 species